rnacentral:rRNA from 1 species
CCUACGGGGUGCAGCAGUAGGGAAUCUUCGGCAAUGGGGGGAACCCUGACCGAGCAACGCCGCGUGAACGAAGAAGUUAUUCGUAAUGUAAAGUUCUUUUAACAGGGAAGAAAGAGAAAUUUGACGGUACCUUAAGAAUAAGCUCCGGCUAACUACGUGCCAGCAGCCGCGGUAAUACGUAGGGAGCGAGCGUUAUGCGGAAUUAUUGGGCGUAAGGGGUGCGGAGAUGGGAUAGUAAGUCUGUUGUAAAACCGCUGGGCUCAACCCAGUAGGGCAAAAGAUACUGGAAAGCUAGAGUAUGACAGAGGCAAGUGGAAUUAGAUGUGUAGCGGUAAAAUGCGUAAAUAUAAGUAAGAACCCCAGUGGCGAAGGCGGCUUGCUGGGUCGAGACUGACAUUGAGGCACGAAAGCGUGGGGAGCAAACAGGAUUAGAUACCCUUGUAGUC